rnacentral:rRNA from 1 species
CCUACGGGGGGCUGCAGUGGGGAAUAUUGGACAAUGGGGGGAACCCUGAUCCAGCCAUGCCGCGUGUGUGAAGAAGGCCCUCGGGUUGUAAAGCACUUUCAGUGAGGAAGAACGCCUGGUGGUUAAUACCCAUCAGGAAAGACAUCACUCACAGAAGAAGCACCGGCUAACUCCGUGCCAGCAGCCGCGGUAAUACGGAGGGUGCGAGCGUUAAUCGGAAUUACUGGGCGUAAAGCGCGCGUAGGUGGCUUGAUAAGCCGGUUGUGAAAGCCCCGGGCUCAACCUGGGAACGGCAUCCGGAACUGUCAAGCUAGAGUGCAGGAGAGGAAGGUAGAAUUCCCGGUGUAGCGGUGAAAUGCGUAGAGAUCGGGAGGAAUACCAGUGGCGAAGGCGGCCUUCUGGACUGACACUGACCCUGAGGUGCGAAAGCGUGGGUAGCAAACAGGAUUAGAUACCCUAGUAGUC